rnacentral:rRNA from 1 species
UACGAAGGGGGCUAGCGUUGCUCGGAAUCACUGGGCGUAAAGCGCACGUAGGCGGAUCUUUAAGUCAGGGGUGAAAUCCUGGAGCUCAACUCCAGAACUGCCUUUGAUACUGGGGAUCUCGAGUCCGGAAGAGGUAAGUGGAACUCCGAGUGUAGAGGUGAAAUUCGUAGAUAUUCGCAAGAACACCGGUGGCGAAGGCGGCUCACUGGCUCGUAACUGACGCUCGGCGCGGACAGCGUGGGACUCGAAACAAGC